rnacentral:rRNA from 1 species
GAUGAACGCUAGCGGCAUGCCUAACACAUGCAAGUCGAGCGAUAAGCCGUCGAGCUUAAACCGGCGCACGUAUGCGUAGCGCGUAUACAAUCUGCCUUUCAAACAGUCUUAGCCCGGAGGAAUUUGUAUUAAUACCGGAUGUUAUAUAAGAUUGGCAUCUUUAUUAUAUUAUAGCUUUGGUGGUGACAGUUGAGUCUACGUUGCAUUAUCUAUUUGGAAAGGUAACGGCUUCUCAAGGCAACGAGGCGUAGCAUAGCUGAGAGGCUUAUCCGACACACUGGAACUGAGACACGGUCCAGACUCCUACGGGAGGCAGCAGUAGGGAAUCGAACACAAAGGGCGAAAGCCUAACGGAGCAACGCCGCGUGAGUGAAGAAGGUCUUCGGAUCGUAAAACUCUGUUAUUAGGGAAGAACAAAUGUGUAAGUAACUAUGCACGUCUUGACGGUACCUAAUCAGAAAGCCACGGCUAACUACGUG